ensembl:lncRNA
CCCCCCCCCCCCCCGUCAUUCUCCCGCGGCCACUCGGCCUCUCCUCGCUCCCGAGGUUACUUUAAAAACCUGCCAAUUGUUGAGGAAAAAAACCCUACGUGCAGGAAAGAAAAUGCACCAGAAGAGCCGCUCUCAGGUUGCCAGGCAGAAUUCAGUGGAGCGAUGGUUGCGGGGAGGAAGGGACUGCGGGUGCUCUUGGGGGCGCGGGGUUGCCCGGAUCUGCGCCCAGCGCAGGACCGCCGCCCUGGAAGAGGUCUUCGGACCCUGGAAGCCCGCGCCUGCCUCAGGGACAGCCUCUUGGGCGAAGCACAAAGCCCACCCCUGCCCCGCGCCUGCCCACGCCCAUUUAACGAGGUCAUUUAUAACAAACUCCC